rnacentral:rRNA from 1 species
UGGGGAAUAUUGCACAAUGGGGGAAACCCUGAUGCAGCGACGCCGCGUGAGCGAAGAAGGUUUUCGAAUCGUAAAGCUCUGUCCUAUGGGAAGAUAAUGACGGUACCAUAGGAGGAAGCCCCGGCUAACUACGUGCCAGCAGCCGCGGUAAUACGUAGGGGGCAAGCGUUGUCCGGAAUCACUGGGCGUAAAGGGUUCGCAGGCGGAAAUGCAAGCCAGUUGUGAAAGGCAGAGGCUCAACCUCUGUAAGCAAUUGAAACUGUAUUUCUUGAGAUGUGGAGAGGCAAGUGGAAUUCCUAGUGUAGCGGUGAAAUGCGUAGAUAUUAGGAAGAAUACCGGUGGCGAAGGCGACUUGCUGGACACAAACUGACGCUGAGGAACGAAAGCGUGGGUAGCAAACAGG